rnacentral:rRNA from 1 species
CAAUUGAACGCUGCGGCAGGCCUAACACAUGCAAGUCGAGCGGAAACGASUUAUCUGAACCUUCGGGGAACGWUAAGGGCGUCGAGCGGCGGACGGGUGAGUAAUGCCUAGGAAAUUGCCUUGAUGUGGGGGAUAACCAUUGGAAACGAUGGCUAAUACCGCAUAAUGCCUACGGGCCAAAGAGGGGGACCUUCGGGCCUCUCGCGUCAAGAUAUGCCUAGGUGGGAUUAGCUAGUUGGUGAGGUAAUGGCUCACCAAGGCGACGAUCCCUAGCUGGUCUGAGAGGAUGAUCAGCCACACUGGAACUGAGACACGGUCCAGACUCCUACGGGAGGCAGCAGUGGGGAAUAUUGCACAAUGGGCGAAAGCCUGAUGCAGCCAUGCCGCGUGUAUGAAGAAGGCCUUCGGGUUGUAAARUACUUUCAGUUGUGAGGAAGGGGGUGUCGUUAAUAGCGGCAUCUCUUGACGUUA